GACGAACGCUGGCGGCGUGCUUAACACAUGCAAGUCGAACGGAAAGGCCCUGCUUUUGUGGGGUGCUCGUGUGGCGAACGGGUGUGUAACACGUGUGUAACCUGCCCUUGACUUGGGGAUAACUUCAGGAAACUGGGGCUAAUACCGGAUAGGAGCUCCUGCGGCAUGGGGGGGGAUGGAAAGUUUCGGCGGUUGGGGAGGGACUCGCGGCUUAUCAGCUUGUUGGUGGGGUAGUGGCUUACCAAGGCUCUGACGGCUAGCCGGCCUGAGAGGGUGACCGGCCACAUUGGGCCUGAGAUACGGCCCAGACUCCUACGGGAGGCAGAGGGGGGAAAUAUUGCACAAGGGGGGGAAGCCUGUGGCGGCAACGCCGGGUGGGGGAUGACGGCCUUCGGGUUGUAAACCGCUUUCGCAUGUGACGAGGCGUGAGUGACGGUAAUGAGUAAAGAAGCACCGGCUAACUACGUG
rnacentral:rRNA from 1 species